UCCUCUGUGGCGCAAUUGGCUAGCGCGUCUGACUGUUAAUCAGAUCAUAAUCUAACAUUGCACAGUGGAAGUUCGAGCCUUCCCGGAGGAG
rnacentral:tRNA from 1 species